rnacentral:rRNA from 1 species
CCCCAGACUCCUACGGGAGGCAGCAGUGAGGAAUAUUGGUCAAUGGGCGGGAGCCUGAACCAGCCAAGUCGCGUGAGGGAAGACGGUCCUAUGGAUUGUAAACCUCUUUAGGCGGGGAGCAAUGCCGGGCACGCGUGCCCGGAGGGAGAGUACCCGCAGAAUAAGCAUCGGCUAACUCCGUGCCAGCAGCCGCGGUAAUACGGAGGAUGCGAGCGUUAUCCGGAUUUAUUGGGUUUAAAGGGUGCGUAGGCGGUCCGUUAAGUCAGCGGUAAAAUGGCGGGGCUCAACCCCGUCGAGCCGUUGAAACUGGCAGACUUGAGUUGGCGAGAAGUACGCGGAAUGCGCGGUGUAGCGGUGAAAUGCAUAGAUAUCGCGCAGAACUCCGAUUGCGAAGGCAGCAUGCCGGCUCCACACUGACGCUGAGGCACGAAAGCGUGGGUAUCGAACAGGAUUAGAUACCCCAGUA